rnacentral:rRNA from 1 species
CCCUAGCAGGUGAUAGCCCUGUAUGCGAAAACAGCGUUGUGGAACUAGGUGUACGACAAGUAGGGCGGGACACGUGAAAUCCUGUCUGAAGAUGGGGGGACCAUCCUCCAAGGCUAAAUACUCGUGAUCGACCGAUAGUGAACCAGUACCGUGAGGGAAAGGCGAAAAGAACCCCGGGAGGGGAGUGAAAUAGAUCCUGAAACCGCAUGCAUACAAACAGUCGGAGCCUGGAAACGGGUGACGGCGUACCUUUUGUAUAAUGGGUCAGCGACUUACAUUCAGUGGCAAGCUUAACCGAUUAGGGCAGGCGUAGCGAAAGCGAGUCCGAACAGGGCGUUGAGUCGCUGGGUGUAGACCCGAAACCAGAUGAUCUAUCCAUGGCCAGGUUGAAGGUGCGGUAACACGUACUGGAGGACCGAACCCACUAACGUUGAAAAGUUAGGGGAUGAGCUGUGGAUAGGGG